GAUUUCCUAAAGCUUUUCACUACGACAGACAGAACUUGGCAGAAGACCAAAGGGUUCCUUCCGAUCUCUCAGAGGCUUCCUGACAGCACAGAUGGAUGAGCGAGACACAGCUGGCCCUAGAGCAGGAAGAGGCCAUGCCAUCCAAACUGGUAGCAGUGGAGUAUUCUGGGAAAACUCUGUGCAGAAGAUCCUGGGUGAGGAGGACACCCACUCCUCAGAGGUUCAGAGCCAGCAGUUGAGGCAGUUCUGCUUCCAGGAGGCCAAGGGACCCCGAGAGGUUUGCAGCCGACUCUACCACCUGGACCGUCAGUGGCUGAAGCCAGAAAGGCACACGAAAGCUGAGAUGCUGGACCUGGUGAUCUUGGAGCAGUUCCUGGCUGUCCUUCCCCUGGAGAUGGAGAGCUGGGUGAGGGACUGUGGAGCGGAGACCAGUUCCCAGGCGGUGGCCCUGGCCGAAAGUUUCCUCCUGAGUCAGGCAGAGGAGAGGAAGCAGGCAGAGAGAAAGCAGGUGAGAGGGACUUUCCUCUGGAUACUCCCAAGGGGCUCCAAACAGGAUGGAGAACAUCCAAAAAUGGUCUGCUGAUGGCCCAUCCUUUUUCGGGGAAUGAGAUCUAACAUCCUUAAAGUAUCUGUCUCUGUCAUUCUCUUUCUAAUAUUUCUCACCUUUCAUUUACUGUUUUGAAUUCAUAUUGUUCUUUCAGAAAAGGGAUCAUUUUGCAGAAAUGGACCUGGAUUCCUGUGAGGCAGAGAGGCCUCCGUUGGACACCAGAGAGAGGCCACUGGGUAAGGAGGAAGGUGGUUUUUCUUUGUUUGGUCUCAUUCUGAUGGUUUUCAAACUCGUCUGAGGGUUCUUUUCAUCUUGGUUUUUUUUUUUUUUUUUUUUUGAGGGGUGGUGGUUGGGAACAAGGGUUCAGAGGAGGGGAGACGUAUUUCUGCACACCUAACAUGAAAUGGGCACAAACCUUCAACUGCACUCAGCAGGUAAGGCUUUCUCAAAGCCCAUCUGUAGUUAGAGAUGUCCUGUUUCCUCUGUGAGAGAAGCAGGCCCUCCUGGCAUCCUGCUUACCUUUUUUUCUUUUGCAGGUGAAAGAAUGAAGCCAGCAAGACCUCCUGAUCCAUCUUUUCAUGGGGGCAGAAGGGAAGCAGUGGCUGUGGAACCAGAUCAGGUAUGGGGAAGCUAUCCUGUGGGGUACAGAGGCCGAGGGAUGGAGCAAUGUCAUGGACUGGUUGGGCACAGAGGAAUGGUGGGAGGAAGCAGCCAGGGAACCAGGAAGGGAAUAUUGCUCUGAGCCCAAGGAGUGAAGGUGGAGGAAGGAUUGGCG